rnacentral:rRNA from 1 species
UACGUAGGAUGCUAGCGUUGUCCGAUUUACUGGGCGUAAAGCGCGCGCAGGCGGCACUGUAAGUAAGGUGUGAAAUCUCCCUGCUCAACGGGGAGGGUGCACUUUAGACUGCAGAGCUAGAGGACGGUAGAGGGGGGUGGAAUUGCUGGUGUAGCGGUGAAAUGCGUAGAUAUUCGGAGGAAUACCGGUGGCGAAGGCGGUUCUCUGGUCUGAUUCUGACGCUGAGGAGCGAAAGCCAGGGGAGCAAACGGG